AUAGUCAGUGAAGUAGAACAUAACUACACAAAGCAGUAGCAUGCACCAGUGGAGUCACCUUGCUGGAUGGACCUCCCUCCAAGAACAACUGCUGAUCAUUAUUCAUCUAGACCCCCCUCUGGUCCCUUGUACCAUUGGCUCCAACAGCGCCUGAUCCCCUGGUUGCCCUUUCCACAGGUAUUGCUAAAGCAAAUAGCACAGGGUAUUUACUAGGUGUGCAAUGCUCUAAAUCAUAUUAAUCUACCCAAUAAAGCAUUUACAGCCAGUAAAAAUUCCACAGUGGCGCAGUCGAUCUGUAAGAAGGAUGAAUGGUGGAAAACAAAGUCAGGGCUGGCCCAGUCUCAGCCCCAGACAGAUUGUCUGAAGUCCUGGGAAAGGAAUAGAGGGAAUGGGGAGAGGAAGCAGCAAGCACCUGGACUUCAUCUGGGCAACAGAAAACACUGUUUCACCUGGGAUGCCAAAGAUGCCAGCAAGCAAGCAUGAGGCAGAAGAACCAUGGAUAAUGGAGCAGUGGGCCUAGAAGAAACUUCAGGAGAUUUGGCAUGAAGGGAAGAGGGAGUAUCCUGCUUCUGAACAGCUUUCAUGAGGCCAUCACCUAACCAGUUUUGACUUACCAGAACCUGAUGUGGUGGCAAAAUGGAAUCUUGACAAGAAUGGCAACAGGACCACCAAGAUAUGUCCCUUUUACACUGCCAUAUAGGAUCUAAAUCAUCUGCUUUUUAUUGUAUUAUAUGGCUGUGUAGAUUCAGAAACUUCAGUUCAAAUCUGAUAAUGUGGAUUAUCUGCUUUGAUAAUCUGGAUUAUAUAGCAGCUGUAGAUAGCAUCCCUAUUGUCACAGAGAUUGGUAGCAUAAAUAGUGGGACCCAUUCUAAUUCAGAACCAGAUCAAAUAUUUACAUGACCCCCAAGUGCAAGAGCAUUUCCCAACUUUGUCUAACAUAGGGCAAAACCAUGUUAAACAGCCUUGG